CUGGGAGUAAACAAACUUUCUCCGGGAGCUUCUAUGAAUGUAGCGGCACCGGCGUAAAAGUCCAAGUUGUUUUAUUGCUGAUAAACACGAUGGAGUAGUGUAGUUGUUGAGUUUCCUCAGUUGAUUGACAGAAUACCUUAACAUCGUGUGCGUGUGGAGAUCAGCUGUAGCUGCUACUCGUGGAAGCGGUGCACAGGACCAGACCACAAGGCAGGGCACACCAGAAAAAUUCAAGUCCAGAAUUGAGUGCCAUUGGAGGGAUGUUUACCUGUGUAACAGAUUCAUUCCACUCCCUCUUCAGAAGUGUGGAGAGUGAGGGCAUCCUAUCUACAGACAAUGAUGUGCACAUUUUCGCCCUUCACUGGGUGUUUCUUCCCAGACUGAAGCAGCACCUUGACUAUUUUGUUGAAGGAUGGAACAGCCAUCCACUAAGAACAUCCACUAAGAGGAAACAAUCUCCUUAGUAGCUGUGGCUCACAAACAGCCACAGUCCAGCCAUUCCAGAUCCACCACAGGUCGAUGAGCUGUAUGGUGUAGACCUUAAACAUCCGUCAGUAAAAUUGGUUAGAUGAUACAAAAGUGAAAGGUUAAUGAACCCACAACUAAUCAACUCCUGACACAUGCACCAUAAAAGAAAUCAAGAAUAGAAUUAUGUACCAGGAUAUUAUAGGAGAAUGUAUUCUAAUUUAUCUAUGAAAGAAAUAAUGGUUAUGUACACUUAAUUAGAUGCAGCCGUAAGUCUCUAGUAAAGAACCUUACCUGAUAAAUGUAUUAGGCUUUUCAAGUCAAUGACACAAAUCACUCACACCGACCCCUAAAACUUGCUGAUGAAAUAUGUUGUUAAUUCCUGGGUAAUCUGCUUUGUAUUCCAACAUUAGAUGAUAUAUUUUCCUCUAAAUUUUGUGGUCUGAGUAAUCAAAUUUAAAUGUUUUAGGUGCAUGAACACACAUCCUUGAGUAAUUCCAUCCAGGUAUUCAAGAUGCAUGGAAAUGGCUCAUUAGCAUAUGUGGUAUAUUGGAACAGAUUUUAUUAAUAUCAGCCAACAUUGUAUAGCACUGAAAUUACAACUAAGCAGUUUUAACC